GUCUGGCUUGUCCACGCCCUUAACAAUGGAAUGCAAAACAAAAUAAUGGUUAUUCUAAAUACUCUGGAAAACAUAAUAGCUAUCUGCUGGGUAGUGUUUAACUGAACCGCGUGAACGGAACCACGAGCCCUUAAUUUUUAUUUUAAUAACGUUUCUGUUGCAAGCUGGACCGAUGUUUCUGCAGCUGACUGGAACGCGAAUCCUGCAGGCCCGAAGGAAUGAAUGAGUGAAACGCACUGUGUGGCCAGAAGGGGGCGCUGUUGGAGUUGACGGUCUCUGAUGACGACCAAUCUUCAAGACGUAUUUCGGAGGUCGUCCGGGUCGCAGUUGGCCAGGAAGCCGGUGACGGCCUCAGACACCUCCUCAUUGGACAGCACGUCCCACAGACCAUCGCUGCCCAUCACCAGCACGUCAUCGGCCCCGUGCUCGUACUGCGUCAGCGGGUACACCUUCACCUGCCGGGGGGCACAGACCAGUCGACUCCCAAGGACCAUAUGCCUUCUCUCCAGGUGCAGGGCUGGAAUCAGCACUUUCCUCUCGGCGACAUAAUGCAGCUCAGCGCGAAAACGGGCUCGAUCCCUUCCUCAUGACCGCAUCGCCUCCCACACAAACACAGAUUUACAGCUCGGACAAAUCAAAAUGGCUCCCCGGCGCUUUCAGAGGGCGCCCCGCGGAGAUCUCGAAAGUUUCAACACUUGAAAGAAC